rnacentral:lncRNA from 1 species
CUGCAACACAUCUGAACAGUGCCUGGACUGGAAGCUGCUGCAACACAUCUGAAACGUGCCUGGACUGGAAGCUGCUGCAACACAUCUGAACAGUGCCUGGACUGGAAGCUGCUGCAACACAUCUGAACAGUGCCUGGACUGGAAGCUGCUGCAACACAUCUGAAACGUGCCUGGACUGGAAGCUGCUGCAACACAUCUGAACAGUGCCUGGACUGGAAGCUGCUGCAACACAUCUGAACAGUGCCUGGACUGGAAGCUGCUGCAACACAUCUGAACAGUGCCUGGACUGGAAGCUGCUGCAACACAUCUGAACAGUGCCUGGACUGGAAGCUGCUGCAACACAUCUGAACAGUGCCUGGAUGAAACAUACACCUUUAAUGGAGUGAUAUGCAGUGGGAAGCAGCAGAAGAUAACUUUAAUUAAGACUAUAUAAGCUGUGAGCUCCAGUGUCCUAGUCUCCUUCUGACAUCAUGGAAACAAUCAACACCAGCCUCCUUGCUUCGUCUGACCAACCAGACCCAUCCUGUUUCCUCUAAUGAAAAGCCUUUUAGAACCUCAGCUCUGGGUCACUUCCUGCCUUAUGUUCCAAAGUGGCGCAGCGGUCUAAGGUGCUGCAUCUCAGUGCUUGAAGCGUCACUACAGACACCCUGGUUCGAUUCCAGGCCGUAUCACAACCGGCCGUGAUUGGGAGUCCCAUAGAGCGGUGCACAAUCGUCCGGGUUUGGCCGGUGUAAGCCUUCAUUGUAAAUAAGAAUUUGUUCAUAACUGACAUGCCUAGUUAAAUAAAGGUUAAAUUAAAAACAACAACAAAAAUUAUUAUGAGAAAACCCCAUGAAGGAGGUGGAGAAUGCUUACUGUUCAUCCAAUGACCAAAUACUGUAAAACAAAACAGAACUAUCAUACAAAAACAAAACAAGCAAACAAACAUAGAGGUAACAUAGAGGUAACAUAGAGGUACCAUAGAGGUACCAUAGAGAUAACAUAGACAUACCAUAGAGGUACCAUACUGGCAGGUAUUACAUUGAAAUGUAUCAUUUAAGAUUUGUGACCUGUUGCUACAAGAAAAGAGCAACCAGUGAAGAACAAACACCAUUGUAAACGCAACCCAUAUUUAUGUUUAUUUAUUUUCCCUUUUGUACUUUAACUAUUUGCACAUCCUUACAACACUGUAUAUAGACAAAUGUCUUUAUUAUUUUGGAACUUUUGUGAGUGUAAUGUGUACUGAUCCGUUUUUUACUGUUUAUUUCACUUUUGUUGCUUUGGCAAUGUAAACAUAUGUUUCCCAUGCAAAUAAAGCCCUUUGAAUAUAAUUGAAUUGAAUUGCGAGGACUGGAGAGAGAAGGGAGGGAGGGAGAGAGACCAUUUGGCACUUGGAUCCCCUCAUUGUCAUCAGUGCCACCCUGGGGACUCCAGCCCACACCUGGCACCCCCUCUCUUCUCCUCCCUCCCACCCUGCUGGCACCCCCUCUCUUCUCCUCCCUCCC